rnacentral:misc_RNA from 1 species
AAAAGAUUCUAUCCUCGAAAUUUUUUCUUAUGAAUCAUGUUUGAAAUGUCUUACAGAAGAUUUGGAAUUUGGCAUUUAAUUUCAAGAUCAAACCUAUGAAAUGCAAAACACUUUCUUGUUCACCUUUUCUCAUGAGAGAGAUAAAUGCGAGUUUUGGAGGGCAUACCCUGUCUAUUAGUAAUUCCCUCUUGGCGCCGUAGAAUUUAUUCCCACAAUGGAGUUUUCAUCAUGCCCUUCCUGGUUGUGAGUCCAUGGUCUUCCUUUGAACAAAAUAACCAAGUCAAAUGCUAAAAUUAUCGGGAGUCUUUUUAAGGAGCUUGUUGAGGUUGAUCUAGCCUCUAAUCAUGAUGUAACAGUAGGGAGUUGUCUUAGAUUGAGGGUGGAGGUGGAUCUGAAUAAGUUCCUAUUGGAAGGUUUUUCAAUCAAGAAAGAAGAUGGGUUACUGGAAUGAGUUCGUUUUAGAUUUGAGAGACUACCUGAUUUUUGCUACAUGUGUGGACUUACUAGCCACCAAAUUCAGGUAUGUCCAAACAUAGGGAUUGAGAAUAGAGGUAAACGGCAGGAGUUUGGGCCGUGGAUGAGGGCGGAGAUUUUCUCUACCUAAACUAGGCAAACUCACGGUGGAGGAAUUCUAGUUGAAAAUUGGCUCUCUGCUUCCUUCUCUUAUUUGAAGGGGUCACCCUUAGCGCCGUAUGAAU